UCCAUACAAUGGCGCUUUGGGUCAGUACAUUUGGGACAAGAGCUCUAAAGGACGAACCAACUUCACUAUAGACAUCCUACGCUACAUCGGCUAUACUAAACAGGAAAUAGGUCAGGUUGUCUUUAUCAAUGGCACUGCAGACGUCACCUUGAGCCAAUUUAACCAAACCCGAGCUGUUUUAGCAGAACCCCUUGAGAUGAAGAAGAUCAAACUUCGAGUGGCUACUCAGCAGCAAGACCCGUUCAUUAUGAUCGGCCCAGACAACACGUACAGCGGCUUCAGCUACGACCUGAUCCAGAAGAUCUCCGAGAACACGCGCUACGAGUUUGAACUCUACGAGACAGAGGAUGAUGACGUCAAGGUGAAAACGAAUGGGAUGGUCAACGCUCUGGUGUCAGGAAAUGCCAGUAUGGCCAUUGGUG
rnacentral:sRNA from 1 species